UUGCGUUCCGCGCCGCCGGCUCCCUCCGCCCCGCGGCUCGAAAACGCCCAGAAACAUGGAACUGUGGAAAAAAUCAGCCAUUCCCUUCCAGCCUGUGGAUUGCAGUACGCGAACCUGGGGAAAUGAGGUGGGACUCAUGCAAUCAACUGAGGACGUGAAUAGAAUAAAAAGAUUGAAUAAGAGGGAACGUCUCCUGCCUGACCCUUUGAAUCAGAACAUCCGUCUCUUCCUAUCCUCUGAUUGGAACUUAGAUGAGUUCUCCUGGUUCUCCAGCUUGCCAGCUGCAGAUCUUGGGACUUCUCAGCCUCCAUAAUCAGGUAAGAAGCUUUGUAAGGUGACCAGUAUGCCACUGAGUCCUGUCUGUGAUACACAGCUUCAUUCAUUUUACUUUAUGAGGACGUCAUCGGUCAGUUCUUGCAAAAUUCCAAGGAGGCAGAAAGGCUGCUUGACUGAGACUCAUUUCCCCUGGCUGUGGACUGACUCCAUUAUCCAUAAUUAAUGCUAAAACACUUCAGUUUUCUUUUGGGGAUCCACCCCUCUCCGGGGGUGACAGUCAAAGUGUAUAACAACUGGAAUGACAUGGGUAUUACCACACCCACACAAUCGGAAUGGAUGCUGACUGUGACACCUGCUGAACCCAGAUUCGCUCAUCAGUUACUGUUUUGAUGAGUCCUGACAUCAAGAUGCCCUGACCUUCCUUCUCUAAGGGCCAAGCAUGGACCGAGCUAAGCCAAACAGACCUUCUGCCCUGAGAAUUUGCAUGCUGACAGGCAACACACACAAGGGCCGAAAACAUGUGGCACAGGUGGGUCCCAAACGUGUUGCCUGGAAAUGCCAGCUUCUCGUGUACCCUGCUUCCUGUCCUUUCCAAGACCUCAUUGUUCAGCUUUUCCUUUGUUCUAUAA